UCCGCCACCGCCUCCCGCGCCGCCACCAGCACUUUGCUCCAGCGCUUUCACGCCCCUCCACGGCCGCUCAGCCCACGCCUGCCCCAGCCGCCGGAGUCCGGGCGGCCGAUUUAAUCCCGCGCAGCUGCGGCCCCCGCCGCGGGAAUCCCCCCCGUGGCUGCCGCCGCCCGCUCCUCGAGCGGCCAGCCCAGUCCAGAGCGAGGAAGUGGAGGAGAGUCAGCGAAAGCUGAACUAUAAGCAGAUCUCAAAAGAUUUCUGCUGAAUGACUUGAUGGACGAUGGAUACCACUGUGGCUGGUCAGAUGUCACCUUCAGAGUCCCUCCUAUUGGGCCUGUGCUGAAAGUCAACUUUGCUCAUUAUCCAUGCCAGGAGAUGAACCAAACUGGGACUAUUAACAAUCUCUGACCUCAGGAAGCACAAAAGCAAAUCAAGUCAGGCAGGAGUUUUUCUCUGCCUUCCCCUUGACAAAGAAACAAGUGUCAGACACCUAGAAGCAGUCCUGAAAUGGACACUUGGCACCCAUGCUUUCUCCGUCAGAAGAACCUCCUGCCUGGUGAGUUUCAGGCUCUAGGAAAUAUCCUACCUUGUACCAAGUGGAGUUCAACACCCCAUGAUGCACCGGUCCUUUGGCCUUGAAGGAAACAUUAUGGAGAGGAGCGGGGAGUGGAUAUACUCAUGACCUGACAUAAAUGACUACUCUAGCUCCCUUGAAACUUUACCCUCUGUCCAGAUGGUGCCUCAUAGUGAAAAGGAUAUUGGGAAAAAGGGCCCCAGUUUGCCAUAUCUUUGGUUAUCCAAAAGGCAGAGAAUAGGCAGAACUGCCCAAAUGCACUGUUUGUCUGUUUGGAGCAGUAAAGAAAUGAGGAUCUUUGGCUGUGAUUCAGGCUGGCGCCAUGGUCCUGAGAUGCCACAGGGAAGAAACGCGUCUGUCCUCUGCAAGAUGGCAACCUCUGGAAAUCAGCAGCAGUGCAAUCGAUCAACAGCCAGGGCCGAGAGCCCUUGCUCUCCUGUUUCUCGGUCAGAGCAAAACCACUUAAAAGUCAGUUCACAGCCCCCAAUAAAAACCGAAAAGUUUACAACAAGUGGUACCACCUGUGCUUAUGUCUCAGCUCAGCCAAAAUAAUUUCCUCUCCUGAGUCUUCUAACUGGGGUGAAGGGUGAGGGAUGUGAAGACGAGGAAGGUUCCAACAUGGAGCCUGCGGAGUGAGUGGAUUAUCAUUGUCUGUGCUAGCAGAGAUCAGCAAGUCUGUCUCCCUUACUCCGGAACAACUGUGUGUGAUAUGAUCUCCCAACCCCUAUCAAAAAAGGCUCUGUCUUCGGGAAAACAAAGACUUCUCUGCUCAGCGCUGUUCCCUCCCAUGACUGAGUUUUCUUUGUAACAAUGUUAUAUUAUUACAAACUCUGUAAAGCUUGGGGUAUGGAGGUUGUAUUAAAAACACAAUAAAGAAGAGCAGCUGUUUAUACAAGCUAGUUUUGGGACCAUAAUUAUACUUUUCUCUGCCUUCUUGAUGAAUCCGGACAUUCGGAGCCAGGUAUCUGCACAAAGCAUGAUAGAAUGAGGAUAAAAUGGCACGUCACUAGGAUGUGACCUACAUUUGUGUAAACCUUGUGGAUACAAAGUGCUUCAUCACUUACUUUCAAAAAACAAAAAACCCUGUAAUUCUUUCUUUUUUAUCUUUUCAUGAAAACCAUCCAGGGACAGUCUAACUUUUUCAGAAAGAACAAAUUUUUCAGUACAGGAGGGAGAAUCUGCCAGUACAACAAGGAGCCAGCCAAGUUGCUUUGGAGGAGUUGAGCAAGUACAUUUCAAUAAGGACCCAAAGAAUCCUUGGCAACCAAUCAGAAGAACCAGUCAUCGUUGCAUUAAGGAAGCCCUCAAAUAUGAGGGCUGUCGGUGGAAAAUAGAGUUACUCACCAACCGAAAAUGUUUACUUGAAGUGAGAAUUAUUUUAUGGAAACCACUGUGAGUUUUGGAAUACUUACAAUCUGUUCAGAUUGGUGGCUGUGUACAAUGUUACUGCCUCAAUAUGCCCUCAGACUUCUAAUCUGUCUGCCUAAUGGAGCAGGUGGCGAGAUUCUCCACUGAGCUGACGGCACCUGGAGGGCAGGGACCGUGUCUUAUUCAUCUUGGACCUCAUACAGUACCCAGCUCUUCAAAGGCAGUUGAUAAAUAUUGAACGAAAGAAGCUUUACAUACAUUGCCACAUUCUCUGACCCGCUGGCAUAAAAUGCCACUAUGUCUAUCAUCUCUAUCUUAUUGCCCUGCUUUAUUUUUCCUCUGAGGUAUUAUUGUCAUGUGAUAUGUGGUUGUUUUUAUUAUUUGUGUAUGAUUUAUUUUUCUCCACCGGAAUCUAAGUUCCCUGAAGGUAGGGACUGAAAAGAUUUGGUUUCCUGUAUAUCCCUACCCUAGUUCCUAGGAUGGUGCCCGGCAUAUAACAGGUCAAUUAUAAAUGUGUUUGAUUUUCGAAUGAAUGCAUGAGUGAUAAACGGACGGUAUCCUCUCUCUUUAAAUUUUUUUCUUUUCUCUUCAUUCUCAUCUAUUCCAUCUUAAUAAGGCCUGAAAAUUAUACUAUGAACUUAAAUCAGUAGUAACAAAAGGAGGGUUCUUUUAUAUAGUGAUUCAUUCUAAAGAAUGAAACAAGGAAACAAGGUCUUGCUGGUGUUAGGCUUGUGGCUCUACAAACCUACAGAGAAAUAUGAGUGACAAGAAAUAGAGAAGAGAGGGAGGCAAGAAACAAAAUAGUCUCCUGGAGGCCAUCAGUGGUGGACUCCGUAUGAACUAACGGGCCACCACAUGUGAAUAGUAAAACACAUUUGUGCACCAUUUUCUAGAUUCUCUGUGUGCACUUAGUCAUUAAAACAAAACACUGGGCUCUUUAUCAUACUGGGCAGGGUCUUCAUGUCCUUCCAGGCUUAGAGGGACAAAACUACAUCUUAUCCAGAUUUUGAGUUCUCUUAACAUCUCACUUUUAAACUACGGUAAAAUUUUAAUAAGACGAUGUAAUACUUUUUCCCUUGGGCAUUUCUGCAUUGUCCCCACAUGUGAAUGAAUAACAAUUCACAAGCUAUUAAUAAUGUUUCCAUUUUACCACAUAAUUUAAUGGCUAAUGGCUGAUAAAACCAGUGACCAGAUGGUUCAGUGACUUGUCCAUGAUUUACACGUGAUUGGUAAUCCUGCCAAAUAUAAAACCUUCAAUUGCAAACUGCAGACAUUAUUUCUUUCUUUCAAGCCAAUAUAGAG